UAAAUGAGAUAAAAAGGCCAUUAGGUGAAUUUAGGAUGUGAGGACAGAUGUAUGAGUUCAAAGUAUAAAACUGUAUACAUUUGUUGCAAUAAAAGACACACACAAUAAGAGUAGUUAUUGAUUCGAGAAUAUCCACGCAGUGUUUCUGCAGGUGUGACACAACUUUUUAUGAAAUAUAUUAUUUCUGCGACAUUACGUCGUUUUUCCCGCCACCCAUGUUAGUUAUGGACCACUCUGCUGCAGGAAGAUGUUUUUUUUUCUUUUAUUGUUUAAAUCCAUCCUUCAUUUCUCUCACAGUUCCGGCUUUGUGAGCAAGACUGUGUUCACAGCUUUGCUAAUAUCCUUCUGCCCACUAAUACCACUACUUAUUCUGCUAAAUGUGCUUUGUUUUCAUCUGCUGAUUACUGAGCAGCCUGGCAAAGUUCCCACUGUGAAGUGUCCUUGCUGUAUUUUCUUAAUUCUUAUGAAACUCACAAAUGGAGCACCACAGGAGUUCUUAUAAAGAAAUGAUCCCGCUAAUUAUCGAUUCUCACAAACCUGCACAGGUGUUGUUAAUCAAGUUGGAAUAAUUUGGAGUGUUUUCUGAUCGGACCAGACGUAUAAGCAAAUCUGAGAAAAAGGGACAUUCAGGAGAGGGAUUAUAAAUUAUGAGACGGCCUACAAAUGACAGCAUGUGUAACAAUAUUGAUGGUGUUAUAUAGUUGCUUAUAGCGUCAUAUACUUUACAAUGAUGUUAGUAGAAUUAUUGUGGUAAAUUACCGUGUUAAAGAUUUUAAUUACAGCAUUAUUCAUUAUUGAUAAAGUGGGUAAUUAUUGCAGGGAAACAAAAACUAAAAUAUACCUGGGAGAAGAGUGCAGCUUUAUGAAAUACUUUUCAAAUUAUAAUGAUACUUGAAAAUCGGAGGAGUAUUUUUUCAAAGAAUCCACCUGAUUUCUGAAUCUGUAAAAUGACAAAAUCAGUAUUAGAAAUGCGUGCACUGUAAUCAAUUGGCUGUAAACUACAGCACCAUCGUUGCUUAGUACAAAGCAGCAGCACAUAAGCAAACACGCAAAUGAUGAACAAACAUUUUGGAUGUUUAAUUUACUUGGUCCAAUAAAAAGAGAUUUCACCAUGAGAACUCAGGAUUCAUUGCAUUAGCAUUGAGAUGUUUCUGUUUCACACACGCCACAUUGAUCUAUGAUGUACACAAUAAUCCGUAACCCAUCCAAAGGGUUAAGGUGACCUUGCACGAGAAGCAGCAGCUUGCAUGUAGAAAGUGCUGAUUGUGGUUGCAGGACUAGCAAGUGUUUGAUCUCAACACGGGGGGGCUUAUCAGUCAAUUAAACCUUUGAUCGUUUCUGAUCUUUGCAUUUUACAGUGCUGGAUCGCCCUGUAUAUAUACACACGGUACAUGUUGUACACAAAAAUGCUCCAAUCACAAAGAACCAUAAAACCAUAGCAAACAAAUAAGUCAAUAUCCACAAUGACCCCUGGCUAAGCUAACAGGACACCCAGCUGAAAUGCCUAAUAUGAACUGACAUAUCGACUCACUGUUGUGAUUGUGUCAAAACAAAGUCAGAAAUGAAAACAUUUAUGUCAAGAGAAAAAUAUACAAACAACAACACAGUUAUCUUCAUCACGCUCCAGAGUUAAAAAAAAGGGCAUCUGCCACAGAAAUACUCAGCGAAGGAAAUUUAGCACUUACAUUAUUAAAUGUCAGACUCGAGUUCUCGGACUUCAGAUCUUUUGUGUUGCUAAACGUAUUAUGGGCCAUGCCAUCCGCAGUUGUUAUGACCUGAAAGAAACACCGAUUUCAUCCUUAAUUGUUUUCAUUUUUUCAUUUAUGCUGGAAAAAGUCCAAUACAUACAAAUUGAUUUGAGUUUGAUGAGAUGCUCAAAUUAUUUUUUCUUUUGCAUCAAAUGUGCGUCGGUUAAUUUCUUUAAUGCUAAAAUGCAACAACAACUUAACAAUUAGGUGGUUACGACAUCAAUCAUCUAGGUUUUGUGGAAAGUAUGAGAGAUACGGAUGACUGACAUGUGAGAACAUAAUGUUUCUCUAAGCUUAUGGUUUCUUCACUAUUGUCACGUCUUUCUU
ensembl:lncRNA